rnacentral:rRNA from 1 species
CCUACGGGAGGCAGCAGUGAGGAAUAUUGGUCAAUGGCCGGAAGGCUGAACCAGCCAAGUAGCGUGAGGGAAGACUGCCCUAUGGGUUGUAAACCUCUUUUAUGCGGGGAGAAAGGGGGCCACGUGUGGAUGUUUGCAGGUACCGCAUGAAUAAGGACCGGAUAAUUCCGUGCCAGCAGCCGCGGUAAUACGGAAGGUCCGGGCGUUAUCCGGCUUUAUUGGGGUUAAAGGGAGCGUAGGCCGGUCUUUAAGCGUGCCGUGCAAGUUUGUGGCUCAACCCUGAGAGUGCGGCGCGAACUGGCGACCUUGAGUGCGCGGAAGGCAGGCGGAAUUCGUGGUGUAGCGG